CUAUGGCUUCCUCUUCUUUCUCCAUUGUUGUUGUGGCAUUGGGUGUCCUCGCGCUCUUUGCGGGGAGCUCUUCUGCUCAACUCUCGACCAACUUUUACUCUAAAACUUGUCCUAAGGUCUUUGAUACUGUGAAAUCUGGAGUUCAAUCGGCGGUUUCGAAAGAACGCCGCAUGGGCGCUUCUCUCCUCCGUCUCUUCUUCCAUGAUUGCUUUGUCAAUGUAAUCCUUCUAGCUUCUUGUUCUUAGUGUAUGGGCCUGAGUGUUGGGUCAUGCAUGUUUCAUAUUUGAAGUCUAAGAAAAAUCUUAGAUAAGGUCAUAGGGAUUCUUAGCUCAAUUUUGGGUUAAUUUGGGAGUGUCUUUUACGAGGUUGCUGUUUUAAUUUUUGUUCUUAGGUUUUUUAUUUUCCGGAGUCUUGGGCCUUGCCGACAUCCAACCUUCACAUUAAACAUGUACUACUUUUUUCUUUGGUCAAAGGGGUAGCCCGAAUAGCUACUGCAUGAGGUGUAGGUUAAACAGAUUGGCUGGGAAGGUCGUAGUUAAACACUUGAACUCACCUCGAGAUUCGUUCUUGACCAGGUCAAGAGCUUCUUAAUAUGCUUUUAGGUGCAUUUAUAGUUUAACAUGGUAUCAAACUUGUCCUUAAAGUCGUGAGUUUGAGAGAGUUUGUAGAUCAUUAUUUCAAACCUAUCUUUGAGGCAAGAAGGUGUCGGGACUAACUUGGAUUAGCCUGAUAUACAUUGUUGGUCCAUAAUGAUAAUAGUUCAAACUGUUGGUAGCUUAAUAUGCAUAGUAUUAAAUUUACCCAUGAAGUCAUGAUAUACAUUAUUGACUUACUAUCUAACCAUUCUAAGUUUUUGAAAUAUAGUUUUACUAAAUUGUUAUGCUUUUAGGGACUAAUUCUUUUUGUUUCUAGCCAUGCCCUGGAAAAUGAAAUUUGAAAUGAAAAGGCCUGGUUGCUAGAACACCCCAAUUUUCAAAUGAAAUGGCCUAGAUACAGCUUGAGAAGAAAUAAAAAGUCAACAGGCUUAAAAGAGGUGGUGUCCUCAACUAAAAAAAAAAAAAAAAAAAAUCACAAAAAAUCAUCUUAAUAAUUAAUAUCUGCUUCAGACUGUUGUUCUCCAUUAAUUUAUCAUAGAAAGUAAACGAUACAAGCUAGCUAUAGUUAUUAAUAUGACCAAUUCAUACUUACUCUGUUUGAUGCUUGGUGUUUAAUUACAGGGCUGCGAUGCAUCAGUCCUCCUCGACGACACCUCUUCCUUCACUGGCGAGCAGACCGCCGUCCCCAAUAAGAACUCCAUCAGAGGCCUAAAUGUGAUCGAUAACAUAAAGUCGCAGGUGGAGAGCGUGUGCCCUGGUGUAGUCUCCUGUGCCGAUAUCAUAGCCAUUGCUGCUCGCGACUCGGUCGUGAUUGUGAGUUCAUAAU
rnacentral:lncRNA from 1 species